AACACGUGGAUAAUCUACCCGACAGACAGGGAUAACAUUUCGAAAGGAAUGCUAAUACCUGAUAAGCCUACGCCCUCCUCGGAGGAAGUAGGAAAAGGUGGGGACCUUCGGGCCUGCCGUUGUUGGAUGAGUCCGCGGCCCAUUAGCUAGUUGGUAGGGUAAUGGCCUACCAAGGCUACGAUGGGUAGCUGGUCUGAGAGGAUGAUCAGCCACACUGGAACUGAGACACGGUCCAG
rnacentral:rRNA from 1 species